rnacentral:rRNA from 1 species
GGGGGGGGCAAGCGUUGUUCGGAAUUACUGGGCGUAAAGGGCUCGUAGGCGGCCAACUAAGUCAGACGUGAAAUCCCUCGGCUUAACCGGGGAACUGCAUCUGAUACUGGAUGGCUUGAGUUCGGGAGAGGGAUGCGGAAUUCCAGGUGUAGCGGUGAAAUGCGUAGAUAUCUGGAGGAACACCGGUGGCGAAGGCGGCAUCCUGGACCGACACUGACGCUGAGGAGCGAAAGCCAGGGGAGCAAACGGGAUUAGAUACCCCGGUAGUCCUGGCCCUAAACGAUGAAUGCUUGGUGUGGCGGGUAUCGAUCCCUGCCGUGCCGAAGCUAACGCAUUAAGCAUUCCGCCUGGGGAGUACGGUCGCANAGGCUG